UUACAGAUUAAAAUUGGUGAAGGUUUUUCGCUUGUUUUUGACGAAAACAUGGUGACAACUGAACUCGACACGGCAGUCGCUGGUAUUUUCGUUGAAGGAGUAUUUUGCUGAUUUUGUCGGCAUCGCCGAACUUGUCAGCUGUCGGACUGGGUUGACCCAUUUCACGCCUGUACGUUGUUGGACUCUUUUUUUUUUGGGUUGUUUCGAGUUUGAAGGAUUUGGCAGUUUUUUUUUGGAGAUCGAUCGUGAGUACAACUGGCGUUGUCAACACAAGAUGGCGAGCCACCCAUAGGAGAACCACUGGAAG